rnacentral:misc_RNA from 1 species
AAAAUGCGAUAAGUAAUGUGAAUUGCAGAAUUCAGUGAAUCAUCGAAUCUUUGAACGCACAUUGCGCCCCCUGGCAUUCCGGGGGGCACACCUGUUCGAGCGUCAUUACACCACUCAAGCUCUGCUUGGUAUUGGGCGCCGCGCAAGCCGCGCGCCUCAAUUCGACCGGCUGGGUCGUCCGUCCCUUAGCGUAGUAACUUACAUUUCGCUUGUGGGAGCCGGGCGCCUCUGGCCGUUAAACACCAAAACUCAAGGUUGACCUCGGAUCAGGUGGGGAUACCCGCUGAACUUAA